rnacentral:rRNA from 1 species
GCCUGAUGCCGCGACGCCGCGAUGAGGGAUGACGGCCUUCGGGUUGUAAACCUCUUUCAGCAGGGAAGAAGCGAAAGUGACGGUACCUGCAGAAGAAGCGCCGGCUAACUACGUGCCAGCAGCCGCGGUAAUACGUAGGGCGCAAGCGUUGUCCGGAAUUAUUGGGCGUAAAGAGCUCGUAGGCGGCUUGUCACGUCGGUUGUGAAAGCCCGGGGCUUAACCCCGGGUCUGCAGUCGAUACGGGCAGGCUAGAGUGUGGUAGGGGAGAUCGGAAUUCCUGGUGUAGCGGUGAAAUGCGCAGAUAUCAGGAGGAACACCGGUGGCGAAGGCGGAUCUCUGGGCCAUUACUGACGCUGAGGAGCGAAAGCGUGGGGAGCGAACAGGAUUAGAUACCCUGGUAGUCCACGCCGUAAACGGUGGGAACUAGGUGUUGGCGACAUUCCACGUCGUCGGUGCCGCAGCUAACGCAUUAAGUUCCCCGCCUGGGGAGUACGGCCGCAAGGCUAAAACUCAAAGGAAUUGACGGGGGCCCGCACAAGCAGCGGAGCAUGUGGCUUAAUUCGACGCAACGCGAAGAACCUUACCAAGGCUUGACAUAUACCGGAAAGCAUCAGAGAUGG